rnacentral:rRNA from 1 species
UACGUAGGGUGCAAGCGUUGUCCGGAAUUAUUGGGCGUAAAGAGCUCGUAGGCGGUGUGUCGCGUCGGCCGUGAAAACCUGGGGCUUAACUCUGGGCGUGCGGUCGAUACGGGCAUCACUAGAGUUCGGCAGGGGAGACUGGAAUUCCUGGUGUAGCGGUGAAAUGCGCAGAUAUCAGGAGGAACACCGGUGGCGAAGGCGGGUCUCUGGGCCGAUACUGGCGCUGAGGAGCGAAAGCAUGGGUAGCGAACAGG